rnacentral:snoRNA from 1 species
AAUCGAUGAUGAAGAUUUGCCGAAAUUCGCAGUUUCCAACCGAGGUUGGGUAGUUGCCAGCUACACAACCUGUGAUGGCAUAUUCCUUGGAUGUCUGAGAUU